rnacentral:lncRNA from 1 species
AUGCCUGUUCCAAAUGAAAAACCUUUGCAACCUUCACCCUAUAAGCUGGGAGAUUUGGUUUAUAUCCACAGGUUCGACUCCAACACCCUAGAACUGCGUUGGAAAGGACCAGUUCCAGUUGUCCUGGUAGCUGGACAUUCUGCCUGGAUACAUCGCAACCAUCUGAAACCAGGACCCCGCACAGAUGUCACAAAGGAUAAAUGGAAGGUCAUCAGCCAACCAGGAGACCAAAAGCUAAGAAUGAAACAGGGUGGGUGCCACGACCACUCCAGUGGAGUCUGCGUGACAAUGCCGGUCACCUGGCAGAAACCAGACCAGAGGGAAAACUGCUUCAACCCAAAAUGCUUUUAAGAUCUUAGAACAUCUUGUAGGCAUCUGUUAACCAUCAAUGUGUGGCUGCUGAAUACGUGACAGCUGGCCACCAGUGCGAAUCAGCAGACCAUUGACCUUUGCCACCUGACUGCAAGCUUUGACUGUUAACUCCCCCUGUGUCCCCUUAUAAGAAGACCUCAGCCCCU